UAAUGGUGUUUGAUUUGUAUUUGUCAUUAUAACAUGGGGAAUGUAAAUGAGUAAAAUCAUUGUAGCCAUAUAUGCUGGCACAUUGCUAUUAUAAUCGGAAAUGGAUGACACACUGUAAUAAUGCUCUCUCAACAUUUACUAAACAGGAUGGACAAAGUCUCAACAGUUAAUUUUUCAUCAUAUAAUUUGCAUGUAAUCAUUUAGCAGUUGUUUUUAUCCAAAGCGACUUAUAAAAGAGGACAAUUAGAAGCAAUUAAACCAACAAACGGGUAACAAAAUACCUGUGAUAAGCCCCAACUAGUAAACAUACACUGUAAAAAAAAACUGUAAUUUUACGGAAUUUUACUGUUUUAUUUUACAGUUUUUUCCACGUAAUUUUGAAAUACAGUUUAAAAUUGUAAAAUUACAGAAAGAGACUGUAAAUUUACAUAUCUUAUGUAAAAUCACAUGAAAAACAUGUCAAUGUGCAUAACGUCCCAAAAAUAUUUUUGAAGAUUUAUUUCACAUAAUGCGCUAUAUUUAUAUGUAGUAUGUGCAGUAUGUGUGUGUGUGUGUACGUGUGUGUGUGGCAUUAAUAAUAUAAUGCCAUAUUUUUUAAUAGAUUAAAAAUAUAAAUAACAACUGUACAAAAGUUAACGUUCAUUAUUAUUAUUAUUAUUAUUAUUACUAUUGAUAUAAUAUGUUGUAUAUGUAGCCUACAUUGCGUGUUUGCAUAAAAGAGCAGGUUAAUCCUUUUUUGAACAGGUUUGUUGAAAAAUCCUUCUCGAAAGAAUCGUAUUUCCAAAGUACUGUCAACUGACCACAUCUUCUUCCGCUUGUCAAAAUAGUUCUGCUCAGUUUGGUGUUUUAUUACGGAUUUAUUCUCAUAGUACCGUUUCAUAAUUUGAUAUAAUAAUAUAAUAAUAUGCUGAUAUUAAAAUUAAAAAAAAUAAAAAAUGUAAUAUUCGAACUGAAGGAAUUCCCGCCCUAGCGCAAGGACACAUUCUCCUCCAAGCACGCAGUGGAGCUGCUGCGCGCGCAGAAGGAAUAACUCGACCUUCAGUUUCACGGUCAAUCUUCAAUCUGAGGCGAAAAUAAGCAGAUAAGUUCAGUGAGUGCUAAAACCAUGGUCAACAUGAAAGGUCAUAGUUAACGACCACAUCACCAUCUUCUGCAACGCUCUGAUGUUUGCUUCAUACAACUGCUUGAACAUUUCAUACCCAGGAAACCAAGGAGAAACGCAAGAGAUUGUGCAAAGAUUCCUUUUUAAGAUGAACCCCGAGAAGGGAUGGAAAGUGGAGAAGACCACAUCGAGAAAGAAAUCAGCAGUCAGUCCAAAGGUUCUUUCACUGAUUAACAAGAUUGCGGACUUUGAAAGGAUGGAGUAAAACUUGGAGUGUCAGAUCUUCCUACAUUGCCUAGCAGAAAUUCUUGACAGUGUCAAAGACUUAAAAUACUUGCUGAUUAUUUGCUUUCAUGGUUGAUUUUUUUUUUUUUAAUGCAUCAUCUGUUGUCAAGAUGAAUUAAUCUGUUCACAGGUGGUUCAGUUUUAAGGACAAAUUAAUUCUUAUUUUUUAUUUGUUUACCAAUUUGCUAUAUUGUUGCAGUUUUGAACAAUUCUUUUGUGUGUUGUUGCAGUUAUUAAAUAUAUAUAUAUAUAUAUAUAUAUAUAUAUGAAGAGUUCAGAUGCAAAAGCCUCUAAAUGCCAUCUGAAAUUUUCAUCUAAAAUUUGGAUUUUUAUCAGGCUCCUAUAUUUAUUUUCAGUUAUUUCACUUUAAUAGUCUGGCAAUGGACCUGCACAUUGCCAUUAAAGUAAAAUGACUCAACUUAAGCAUAGGAGCUUGAUAAAAAUCCCAAUUUUAGAUGAAAAUUUCAGAUGGCAUUUAGAGGCUUUUGCAUCUGAACUCUUCAUAUAUACUGUUGCAGUUAUGAAAAAAAACUGAAUUGUAUGUGGUUGCAGUUGUGAUCUAAUUUAAACUUUUGGGCUUAUUUUUUUAUUGGAAUAUUGUUGCAGUUUAGCUAUAAUCUCUAUACUGGUAUAUUGUUGCAGUUUUGUACAAAGAAUAUUAGUAAAUUGCAGUCCUGAACAAACUAUUUGUAUAUUCUUGCAGAUUGGUCAAUAAAUUAUUAAAACACA